AUGUGCAUAAGCUGUGGGA
rnacentral:miRNA from 1 species